AGCAAGGCUGAGCCACCGCACUGCAUCUCUGAAGAGCUGGUCCAGCUGUGUUAAACGUAUGGUGGUGCUGUGUGGGGCCGAGGCAGACAAAGCCAUGCGGAGUUGACCAGACUGGGAUCAGACUUCAGAGACAAGAGUCCCUCUGCCAAGAUAGGAGCAGCAUAUCCAGGGCCUGUGGUACAGGAUCCAGAAGAGAAAGGGGUCCAUUGUGCUCCACUGUGUGCUCCUUGGGGCAGGGACAUAGAGGAGUGAAGGAAUGAAACGGCUGCUUUGUGAUCAGAAUUUGAAUUCACUCCACUGGUUUUGACUUUUCCUUCCUUGAUGUGCCUCCUGAC